rnacentral:piRNA from 1 species
UGCUGUAGAUAUGGCAGAAAGUUCACAGA